CCUACGGGAGGCAGCAGUGGGGAAUAUUGCACAAUGGGGGAAACCCUGACGCAGCGACGCCGCGUGAGUGAAGAAGUAUUUCGGUAUGUAAAGCUCUAUCAGCAGGGAAGAAAUAGCGACCUUUGGGUCGCCAGACGGUACCUGAUUAAGAAGCCCCGGCUAACUACGGGCCAGCAGCCGCGGUAAUACGUAGGGGGCAAGCGUUAUCCGGAUUUACUGGGUGUAAAGGGAGCGUAGACGGCAGCGCAAGUCUGAAGUGAAAUGCCGGGGCUUAACCCCGGAACGGCUUUGGAAACUGUGCAGCUAGAGGGCCGGAGAGGUAAGGGGAAUUCCUAGGGUAGGGGUGAA
rnacentral:rRNA from 1 species